GACGAACGCUGGCGGCGUGCUUAACACAUGCAAGUCGAACGAUGAACCGGAGCUUGCUCUGGGGAUUAGUGGCGAACGGGUGAGUAACACGUGGGCAACCUGCCCCAGACACCGGGAUAACCAUUCGAAAGGAUGGCUAAUACCGGAUACGACCACUUCGGGCAUCCGAUGGUGGUGGAAAGGAUUCUGGUCUGGGAUGGGCCCGCGGCCUGUCAGCUUGGUGGUGGGGUAAUGGCCUACCAAGGCGACGGCGGGUAGCCGGCCUGAGAGGGGGAGCGGCCUCACUGGGACUGGGAGCCGGCCCAGACACCUACGGGAGGCAGGAGUGGGGAAUAUUGCGCAAUGGGCGAAAGCCUGACGCAGCGACGCCGCGUGAGGGACGAAGGUCUUCGGAUUGUAAGCCUCUUUCAGCAGGGAUGAAGCGAAAGUGACAGUACCUGCAGAAGAAGCACCGGCUAACUACGUGCCAGCCGCCGCCGUAAAAC
rnacentral:rRNA from 1 species